CCCCCCCCCACACCCCACCCCUGCUUCCUACCACACCCCCACCAACUCCAACCCAACACAAGCUAGUGGACUUGCAAGCUCAACAUGCCGCUGCCUAUGUGCAGGGAAAUCCCCGAGGGUUCAAGCUCGGAGGGCGUGCUUUCAGCCAGGAUGGAUUCCAUGGAGAAUCUUUUCAAUGUAGUGUUGGCAGGCAACAAGAAGCUUGAGAAUCAACUGGUGGAAUUGUGAGCAUUUAGCUUGCGGGACGUAACCAAGCAGACGGGGCAGAUAGAAAAUCUCCCGCAGAUGCUCGAGAAGAAUAAUGAACUCAUCACAAAGCUAAUGGAGGACUACGCAGAGUUUCAUAAAGAGAGGCGUUAUGCCGAUGAGAUGCGGGAAGAGAUUGCGCAGAGCCUGUAUAAUUUAAAGCUUACGUGACAGGCUUGGGGGUUGCGACCUGUGCCACCAAACUUUGUAUUAUGCUUGAUUCCUUAUAGCUGUCCAAUUCUAAGUGGAUUCCAGUUAACAUGA